CAAAUUAUAGCUACUUUCGGUUUUUGGAUGCGAUUUGGGAAUCUGUUUUAGUUUCAAAUGUUAUGAUUUAUAGUACAGUUGCACGUCCUCUGUGUCAAAAAUAUGCACACGUGAAUUGUAAUUGAAGUAUUACAAUGGAAAAUCUGUGCUAUUACGGAUAACUGUACCAUUUUUGAAGUUGUUGCAUCACAGAUGUCGAUUUGUGCAAAAACAACGACGAGCAAUCAGAAACAGAAAGCUUCUUCAUAUGCAUAACAAAGAAGUGAGAGUGCCACAACAGCCAGCAGUGAAGAACACAAUGAUUCCACAUGUACUGUCAAGUAGAGGCAUGAAGCAAACAGAAUCAUCCACAAAGUGAACGAUUAAACCGUUCCUGUGCUGCAUUGUCUGGUCGCAUAUAUGGGAUCAUAAGAUUCAUUGAGAAGCCAUAUCCACUGUCGCAAAUCACUAUUCCAGCGUGUUGACCUUUAAGAAAUUUAUUAAACAAAGAUCAUAUAUUUUAUUGGAGUGAAUUUGAUUUGAAUAUUUAAAUGUAUUUAUUGAUCAUAAAGUUAAUGUAAAAAUUAUUUCCGCUCGUCUAUCCAUGAGCAAUGGCAGAAUAUAUGCUUAAAUACAUUGAUGCACAUACAAUUUUUAUAAAUUGUAAAAUACAAAUUGUGUUCACUAGUAUUUGUGGAAUGUUAGAAAACCUACCAUUUUCAAACUGAUCUUUUAUUUCGACGUUUCUCCAAAUUCUGGCAUCAUGUGUCCGCCCUGGCCAGUUGGCAUUGAAACUUGUUAUUUUGUAGUGUGCAUCACAGACAGCCUGUGAAUAUGAAACGUGCAGAACAUUGUUUCAACACAUUAUAUAAAUUAACUAAAUAAUAAAUAUGUUAUUAUUUUUUUCUAUUUAAGUUGAUAUACAACUGAUGACAUGUUUCUUAGUUUACGAAUGACAACCGGCUAAAAUUAACAUGUAGUUGUUUUAUAAAUUAUUUUUGUUAACAAUGAACGUGUAUCAUAUAAAAACAAUUAAAUCAAGUUUCAGCAUUGCACAAAAUUAUUUGUUAAGCCAUACCUGUUAAUUGAUUGUGUGUAUACCUUUUCGCUCUAUGAAGUCUUC